CCCUUCCUGGGUUCCGUCUCCGGCUCCUUCCCGGCCCUCCCAGGCGGCGCUGUCCCUGAGGAAGCGGCGGGAGCGAGGGUUCAGAGAUGGGCAGUGAGAAGGAGCAGAGUCAAGAACCACACCUGCCUGAGGAAGGGGAAGGGGGUAAGCCUUGGAGAGUGGAUGGCUCAGAGGGUUCUCGGAUCCCAGCUGGGGAAAAGGAGGAUGGGCAAGAGAGCCCAUCGAAGGGGCCAGAAGGAACAUGUCCAAAAAAGCCAUGGCAGAAAGUCACUACCUCUACCUCAGCAGGAGGGCCAGGGGACCCCAGUGCUCAUCCAAAGCCUGAGGCGGACCAGAAGCCCUUUGCAUGUGCCCAGUGUGGCAAAACCUUCAACAAUACCUCCAGCCUGAGAACACACCAGCGAAUCCACACUGGCGAGAAGCCCUACAAGUGUUCCGAAUGUGGCAAGAGCUUUUCAAGAAGCUCCAAUCGCAUCCGGCACGAGCGAAUCCACCUGGAGGAGAAGCACUACAAAUGUCCCAAGUGUCAGGAAAGCUUUCGGCGGCGCUCAGACCUCACCACACACCAGCAAGAUCACCUGGGCAAGCGGCCGUACCGCUGUGACAUCUGUGGGAAGAGCUUCAGCCAGAGUGCCACACUGGCUGUGCAUCACCGAACCCACCUGGAGCCAGCACCCUACAUCUGCUGUGAGUGUGGGAAGAGCUUCAGCAACAGUUCCAGCUUUGGAGUGCACCACCGCACCCACACGGGUGAGAGGCCUUACGAGUGUGCUGAGUGUGGGCGGACCUUCAGCGAUAUCUCCAACUUUGGAGCGCACCAAAGGACCCACAGAGGGGAGAAGCCCUACCGUUGCACCCUGUGUGGGAAACACUUCUCCCGAAGCUCUAAUCUCAUCCGCCACCAGAAAACACACAUGGGUGAGCAGUCUGGGAAAGAGUCCAGCUGAAGAGGAGCCCCACUUACAGAGUGGGAGACAGAGUGAAAGAUUCACCCUUAGUGGAGGAUGAAGGUCUUUGGGAUCUGCUGCUGCCCCCUUGACCUUGAGCCCUUCAUCCCACUUUAGAGAGUGGUUUCCUAUUGUCUCUGGAAUCAGGAUGUCCAGGAAUUCCUGAGAAAGGACUCUAAGUGAAAAACCUAGCCUUCUCUCAGGAAGUUCCUUGCCUUGGAAAGUCAGAGGAUCCAGUCUUGGCUUCACCUCUUUGGGGGUAACAGAGAAAUAGGGUAGGCUCAGAACAUGUUCAUACCAUUAAGGCUGCAGUCCUCUGGUCUUUAAGGAAACACCUGUAAGAUGGUGUCUCUGUUUGCAGGGCCUCUAUAUAGUCGGUGAACUGUGUAGGGCAGACUGCAGAGGCCUGCUUGUUCAUGCCUGCCGUGGCCCAACCCAAGUGUGCUUCUAGAUGUCUAGGCUGGCAGGAGUGGCCCUCCUAAUAGUCUAAGAAGAGGUUUGAGGUCCUGCCUUAGAAUUGAAAGGAGAGCCCUCAGGGAUUCGUGAUUCGGCGACCUCACACUCUCCCAUGUUUGUUACCUGUUAUCCCUACCCAAACUUGCAUCUGUUUCCCUAGAGUGAUCAGCAGUAAAACCCUUCAAUGACAAGGACCUGUGUACUUAUUUGGGGAAGUGGGGAGCUGGGGAGAUUGUCCCCGUCCAGUCAUUGUGUAAGGAAGAUGAAUUCCAAGAGUGUGAGAUGGUUGGCUGCUCUGAAAAGCAAAAGAAAGCAGGCUGAGUUUCUGGGGCCUUUGAGGGAAAGGGGCAAAGGCAAGGACUAACAUCCACUGAGCAUCUAACCCUACACUGGUGAUUCUGAUUCUUCGGGUUACUUUAUGUUCUUCAUUUUAUUGUUGUCGUAGCAAUCCCCAGGGGUAUUAGAUGCGGAAAUGGAUGUACGGAAAGAUGAAGUCACACAACAGGCACAUAGUGGAGCAGUUUAAAGGGUUCAUGAUAACCACAAGGAAACUACCUAUAGAAGAUGCACAGGAUAAAAUGAGAAAAACAGUGUAAGCAUGUCAACACAUACAAAAUCAAUGAGACACACAAGCAGUAAGAGAAGAAAAUGAACAAAAUUAUCAUAAGACUGAAGAAAUAAAAUGCCAAUGGUGAAAAAACUGAUGUUUGAACAGGUUAGGAAAUCAGAGUCAACUGCAUGCAUGUCUGGCUCUAAACGUAAACCUGUGUCCUUACUCUCAGAUCUAUGACCAGACUCAGAGCUCAGAUGGCUCCUAAAGGUGAAGAACACAGCAUGCCCCAGGAGGAGUGCCACUAUACAGCCAAAGAACUUCUUGAGUUUUCUAAUUCUUACAAGCACAGGUCUGAGGAACAAGAAUGGGAAUGGAUUUCAAAGGUGUCACACUGGUCCAUUACGUUGAUGACAUUAUGCGGAUUAGACCAAGUGAGCAAAAGGUAGUAAUCACGCUGGAAUUGUUGGUAAAGUAUUUGGUGGCUUUAGUUCAGUGAAAUUUCUAGGAGUCUAGUGGUGUGGGGACAUGCAGAGAUAUCCCUUAUAAGGUGAAGGAUAAGUUAUUGCAUCUGACACCUCCUACAACCAAGAAAGAGGCACAAUGCCUCAUGGAUCUAUUUGGAUUUUGGAGGAAGCACAUUCCUUACUUGGGUGUGUAGCUCUGGCCCAUUUACUGAGUUACUUGAAAGCUGCUAGUUUGGAGUGGAACCCAGAACAAGAGAAGUCUCUGCAACAGGUCUAGGCUGCUGUGCAGGCUGUUUUUCCAUUUGGGCCAUAUGACCUGGCAGAUCCAAUGGUACCUGAGGUGUCAGGGGCAGAUAGGAAUGCUCUUUGGAGCCUCUACCAGGCUCCCAUAGAUGAAUCACAGCAGAGGCCCUUAGAAUUUUGGAGCAAGGUUGUACCAUUAUCUGCAGACAACUUUUCCUGUUAAGAAACAGUUCUUGGCCUGCUCCUGAGCCAUAGUGGAAAUGGAAUGCUUGACCAUGGAUACCAGGUUAUCAUGUGACCUGAGCUGCCCAUCAUGAAUGAGGCACCAUGUGGCCCACCGAGUUGUUAAACUGGGUGUACACUGCAACAGUGCAUCAUUAAGUGGAAGUGGUAUAUGUAUGACCGAGCCUGCACAGGUCCAGAAGGUGUAAGUUACAUGAAGAAGUGGCCCAAAUACCCAUGAUUCUUUUUUUUGGUCCCAGGAAUCAAAUUUAAGACCUUGUGCUUGCCAGGAAGGCGCUUGUGCCGCUGAGCUAUAUCCCCAGCCCUCAUGAUUCUUACUUGUGCUACAUUGCUUUUUGUCCUUCAGCAUGCAUCUGUGGCCCCAUGGCUUUACCCUAUGAUAUGUUAACAGAGGAAUAGAAGACUAGGUCCUGUUUUACAAAUGGUUCAGCACAUUAUACAGGCACUGCCCAAAGGUAGACAGUUGUAGCACUAUAGCCCCUUUCUGGGACAUCCCUGAAGGACAGAGGUGAAGGGAAAUCUUCACAGUGGGCAGAAGUUCAGGCAGUGCACCUGUUCAUACAUUUUGCUUGGCAGAAAAAAAUCCAGAUAGGGGACGAUAUAUGAUUCAUGGGCAGUAGCAAGUAGUUUGGGUGGAUGGUUAGAGACUGGAAGGGAACAUGACUGGAACAUUUAUGGAAGACAUUUGAGGAAGAAGAAUGUGGAUAGACCUCACUAUAUGGAUGAAGAUGUGAAGAUAUAUAUGUCCCAUGUAAAUGCUCACCAAAAGGAGACUGUAGAAGAGACUAAUAAUCAAGGAUGGAGGUUAUGCAUGGGCUCAGCAGUAUGGACUGCAGCUCACCAAAGCUGACCUGGCUACAGCCACUGCUGAACCGCAAAUCUGCCAACAGCAGAGACCAACUCCAAGUACUCAAUAAGGCACGACUGCUCGAGAUGAUCAGGCUGUGAUCUGGUGGCAAGUUGAUUAUAUUGGCCUGCUUACAUUAUGGAAGGGGCAGCUCUUUGUCCUUACUGACAUAGAUACGUAUUCUGGGUAUGGAUUUGCCUUUUCUGUAUAUAAUGUUUCUGCCAAAACUACCAUCUGCGGCCUUACAGAAUGCCUCAUCUGCCAUCAUGGUCUUCCACACACGAUUGCUUCUGACCAAGGAACACAUUUCACAGUCAAAGAAGUGUGGCAAUGGGCUCGUGCUCAUGGAAUUCACUGGUCUUGUCGUGUUUCCCACCAUCCAGAAACAGCAGGAUUGACAGAACUGUGGAAAAGCCGUUUGAAGAUGCAAUUAAAGUACCACCUAGGGGGGCUGGGGAUUUAGCUCAGCGGCAAAAGCGCCUGCCUGGCAAGCGCAAGGUCGUGAGUUCGGUUCCCGGUCCCGGAGAAAAACCAAAAACCAAAAACCAAAAAAAAAAAAAGUACCACCUAGGUGGCGAUACGUUGUAGGGCUGGAGGAAGGUUCUUCAGAAGGCUGUAUAUGCUUUGAAUUAGCAUCAAGUAUAUGGUAUUGUUUCUUCUCAUUGCCAGAAUUUGUGGGCCCAGGAAUCAAGGGCUGGGAGUGGGAAGGGUACCACUUACCAUUAUGUGUAGUGAUCCUCCAGCAAUAUUUUCGCUUUCUGUUCCUAUGACCUUAUGCCCUGCUGGCCUAGAAGUCUUAGUUCCAGAUGGGUAAAGACUUCGUCCAGGAAACACAACAAUGAUUCCAUUGAACUGGAAGCUAAUACUUGCCCCUGGUCAUUUUGGGCUCCUCAUGCCUCUGAGUAAACAAGCUAAACAGGGAGUUACAGUGUUGGCAUGGUGUUUGAGCCAGACUCCCUGGCAGAGAGAAACUGGAUUACUCCCCAGUGGAGGUAAGGAAAAAUAUAUUUGGAGUGAAGGAGACGCCUUAGGUCAUCUCUUAGUAUUAACAUGCUCUGUUAAGGUUAAUGGGAAACUGCAAUAACCCAAUCCAAACCGGAUGAUAAAUGGCCCAAAACCACUGGGAAUGAAGGUAUAGGUCAGUCCACCUGGUAAAGAACCAAUAUCAAGACAUUACAAGAAAAGACAUAGACACAAAAAUCCUCAGCAAAAUAAUAGCAAAUCAAACCCAGUUAUGUACAAAGAGAAUUAUAUACCGUGAAUAAGUGGGGUUUAUCCCAGGUAUGUGAGGCUAGUUCAACAUUUAUGUUUUAAAUUUUUUUAUUAGUACAUGUUUGCAGUACAUAAUGAUUACAUUCGUCAUGGUAAGUUGGUACAUGUACAUGACACAUUCUUUUUUCAUCCCCUUCCCUUCUCCUUCCUAUCCCUAGUUCAACACUUAGAAAUCAAUUAAUUCAACCCAUCAUAUUAGCAGGCUAAAGAAGAGUAAUCAUACCCCCAUAUCAGUGGACCCAGAAAGCAUAUUUCACAAAACCCAACAUCCAUGCAUGACAAAAACUCUCAGUAAACUUAGAAGAGGGGUAAAUUUCCUCAACUUCAUAAAGAACAUAUAUGAAAGCCUUAUGGUUAUUACACUUGAGGCAAGAAGUUUGAAGCUUUAUUGCUAAAGUCAGGAACAAGGCCAUGCUGUCUCCUCUCACAACUCCUUUUCAACAUUGUACUAAAUGUCCUAGCAUAUGCAAUAAGAAAAGAAGAUAUAUACAUAUGGAUUAAGAGGAAAGAAAUAAAAGUAUCUUUGUUUGCAGAAGAUAAGUUUGGCUCUGUAGAAAAUCCCAAAGAAUCAAUACCACUACCACCAAAAACUUCUGCAACUAGUCAGUGAGUAAGGCUAGAGGUAUUAGAUUAAUAUACAAAGGCAAGCACUUUCCUGUAUACUAGCUGUGUGAGUAAGCUUUCUAUUAUCGUAAUAAAGUACUUGUGAGACUUACAAAAGGACAGAUUUAUUUGGCUCACAGUUGUAGAAGUUCCAGUUCAAGACUGGGCGAACCCAUUGCUGUGGGCCUCUGUUAGGGGCACUGCCAGACUGCAAUGGCAGGAAGUGCAUUUUGGAGCAAACUCACUUACACAUGAG